rnacentral:rRNA from 1 species
UACGGAGGAUUCAAGCGUUAUCCGGAUUUAUUGGGUUUAAAGGGAGCGUAGGCGGGUUGUUAAGUCAGUUGUGAAAGUUUGCGGCUCAACCGUAAAAUUGCAGUUGAUACUGGCAUCCUUGAGUACAGUAGAGGUAGGCGGAAUUCGUGGUGUAGCGGUGAAAUGCUUAGAUAUCACGAAGAACUCCGAUUGCGAAGGCAGCCUGCUGGACUGUAACUGACGCUGAUGCUCGAAAGUGUGGGUAUCAAACAGG